rnacentral:rRNA from 2 species
UUCCGGUUGAUCCCGCCGGACCUGACUGCUAUCGGAUUGAUACUAAGCCAUGCGAGUCAUUGUAGCAAUACAAGGCAUACGGCUCAGUAACGCGUAGUCAACCUAACCUAUGGACGGGAAUAACCUCGGGAAACUGAGAAUAAUGCCCGAUAGAACAUUAUGCCUGGAAUGGUUUAUGUUCCAAAUGAUUUAUCGCCGUAGGAUGGGACUGCGGCCUAUCAGUUUGUUGGUGAGGUAAUGGCCCACCAAGACUAUUACAGGUACGGGCUCUGAGAGGAGUAGCCCGGAGAUGGGUACUGAGACACGGACCCAGGCCCUAUGGGGCGCAGCAGGCGAGAAAACUUUGCAAUGUGCGAAAGCACGACAAGGUUAAUCCGAGUGGUUUCUGCUAAAGAAACCUUUUGUCAGUCCUAGAAACACUGAUGAAUAAGGGGUGGGCAAGUUCUGGUGUCAGCCGCCGCGGUAAAACCAGCACCUCAAGUGGUCAGGAUGAUUAUUGGGCCUAAAGCAUCCGUAGCCGGCUCUGUAAGUUUUCGGUUAAAUCUGUACGCUCAACGUACAGGCUGCCGGGAAUACUGCAAAGCUAGGGAGUGGGAGAGGUAGACGGUACUCGGUAGGAAGGGGUAAAAUCCUUUGAUCUAUUGAUGACCACCUGUGGCGAAGGCGGUCUACCAGAACACGUCCGACGGUGAGGGAUGAAAGCUGGGGGAGCAAACCGGAUUAGAUACCCGGGUAGUCCCAGCUGUAAACCAUGCAAACUCAGUGAUGCAUUGGCUUGUGGCCAAUGCAGUGCUGCAGGAAGCCGUUAAGUUUGCCGCCUGGGAAGUACGUACGCAAGUAUGAAACUUAAAGGAUUGCGGGGAGCAC